UACGUAGGUGGCAAGCGUUGUCCGGAAUUAUUGGGCGUAAAGGGCGCGCAGGCGGUUUUCUAAGUCUGAUGUGAAAUCUUGCGGCUCAACCGCAAGCGGUCAUUGGAAACUGGGGAACUUGAGUGCAGAAGAGGAGAGUAGAAUUCCACGUGUAGCGGUGAAAUGCGUAGAGAUGUGGAGGAAUACCGGUGGCGAAGGCGGCUCUCUGGUCUGUAACUGACGCUGAGGUGCGAAAGCGUGGGGAGCAAAC
rnacentral:rRNA from 1 species